GAGGCAAUACUAGUUUAUGCCGAUCCAUGAGUGCCAUAAACCUUUGUUGUGGAAAAAUUUCUUCUAAAGUGAUUCUUGAUUCUGAAAUGGUCUAUCAGUUUAAGCUGAUACCAUGAGAUAGCCUAAAAUAUCUUCAUGCUUAAGUGAAUCAAGUAUAGAAGAGUUAGCUCUUUCAUAUUCAUAUAUUACUUUACUGUACUGGGUCCAAAGCAAAUAUCCUAUCAAUUUUAAAGCAGACUUAUGAAAGAGAAUGAAGCACAUAAUAUUUAGAGCUUGAUUGAGCACAUGAUGAACAUGGCUACAAAUAUUAUAUAUAUAGUCUUACUCUAGGACAAACUACUAAAUGGAAACUAAAUACAGCCCCAUGCUUUCAGGAGAAUUGGGAGGUUUUGGGCCUGAAGAACGGACCCCAAGUUGGGCCUUGGCAAGGCCUAGGUGGGGUCUAGUGGGCGGGGGUGGGGUCAAGUGUUGGCUCUUGAGUUUGUCUAGAGCCCCUCCUGUCAGAGGUGGGUCCUCGGGUGGGUGAUGUCAUCUAGGGGUGGGUGAUGUCAUAGUUUCUCUUGGUUUGUAUUUGAUCACUAGCCAAAGGGUUCUUCGACUGGAACACCCGUCACCUGCGAUCAGGAAUUUUGCACUGAUGUAUUAAAGGCCUCAUAUUCUGAUUGCUCGGUUGGAAGGCUUUGUGAGUAUUCUAUCACUUACGGAGAUGGAAGCUCUACCGCAGGCUUCUUUGUCAAAGAUAGUGUACAUUUUAAUCGUGCAUCCGGAGAUUUUCAAUCUACAGUCCUGAAUGGGAGUGUGACUUUUGGGUGAGUUUUCACUCUUGCUCUCUAGUUUUGACAGGUUAAUUUAUACUAUUUAUGUUAUACUAUAAUAAGCCAACAUGGGUAUAAUUUGUACUACUAAAAUUUGGUUUGGUUUGGUCAUUCCCAAAUGACCCUUUUCUCUAUUUAAAUAAAUAAAUAAUGAUAAGUAAUUAUAUAAACAGUAUCUUACUUAGUUAUAACGUAUUCUACUUAUUAAAACAAAUCAUCACGUAACUCUUCUUAAUUCUAAUGUAUUUUACUUCAAUACAAACACAAAUCAUGUAACUAUUUUUAACUCUAAUGUUAUGUAUUUCAAGACAAACAUGAUUUCUAUACAAGGAACUAAUAUAAUUUUCCUCACAAAAGAAGAAAUAUGAAAUAUGAUAUAUAUGAUUUAAAAUUAAUCAAAAAACACGUUAUCGCAUAUUUAUAUUAGAAAAACAUUUGUAGGUAGAUAAUAAAAAUAUAUAUUGUUUAUAAUACCGAUUUACAAUAUAAAAAAAUAUUGUAAAAACUAAAUUUGUAAGAGUAAAUACAAUCAAACGGCUGGUAUGAUCUAAUCAAAUUUCAAUUCAUUAUCAUUGCCCAUUAAAAAAAUUAUGACAUCCAACAGUAUCAAACAAAUAAUAAAAUAAUCUUGAAAAUUAAAUUUUAAAUAAUAAAUUUUGAACUAUAUAGUUGCCCGUGCUUCGCAUGGGUUAAGGGAUAGUACUAAUAAUAACAUAAAUACAGUUCACAUGUCCGACAUCAGUUUGCUUGUCAUUAUAUGGGUUUUAUUCAUUUCAUGUCAGUGUUUGUGGUGUGUAUGCAUAUAUCAGUUAUUUAGGUGCAAUGGUGCCGAGUUUGAAUGAUGUAUCAAUUUAUCUCCAUGGUGUAAUUCAUUCAGUAAUGCUUAUGACAUGUUAAUAAUUAUUUGACCCGUGUAGGUGUGGAGCUAAACAGUCUGGGGAGCUAGGUUCGUCUGAUGAGUCAGUUGAUGGAAUAAUUGGAUUUGGACAAAAUAACUCGUCCCUAAUAUCACAGCUCGCUUCAGCUAAGAAGGUGAAAAAGGUGUUUUCUCAUUGCUUGGAUGGGAAAAAUGGCGGGGGUAUUUUUGCUAUUGGAGAAGUAGUACAGCCAAAAUAUGCUUCGACACCUCUGGUCCCAGAUAUGUAUGUCAUAUACACUAUAUUUUUAUUAAUCUAUUAUAAGUAUCAUAUCUUUUUAAUUUUCUUAUAAUUAUGUAGAGAUAAAACUAUAUUUCAUAUGGUGUAGGCUUUAUGGUUAAAUGUAAAUUCUGACUCCAACUUCGUCCUGAGUUGUAUAUAUAGGGUGACUUAUGUUUGUGACACUUAGGGUGAGGCCAGUGUCAUAAUAAGUGGUACAAAUGAAUUUCCUUGUGAGUGCUCUCUAAUACUUUUGCUUUUCUGUGUAGAAAGAAGGCAGCACUAGCUAGUAAUGCUCAAGUUAUGGAGUGAUCUGAACUAAUCCUAGUCCUUAAGAAUAUUAAGAAAAUUUAAUGACAUGGUUAAAAAAGGAAUUGAUAGGCAAAAUUGGUUUUGUUUUUUUGUGUGGGGGAUGUACUCCAGAAGCAGAGUAUGUUAGGCCUGCAAAAGUUGUAAAAUGGGAGUUUCUUUUCUCGCCUGUCUGAGAGUUCCUGUCUGAAUCUUUUAAUUUUCAUGAAAUUGAACUGAUGAGCUAAUCUGACAUUUGGUCAUCAACUGUUCAUCUUCUUUUUACUAUCUUUAUAGGUUUCCUAUUUCAAGAAUCUUCAUUUACCAUUUCCUGCUAGCUGUAUUUAUGUAUAUUUUAUUGAAUUUAAGUUAUGAUGGCAUUCCUCAGUAUGGCUUAGAACCUGGUUUUAAUUAUAGUUUUAUCACUAUCUUAGGCCACAUUAUAAUGUUAUUAUGAAGGCAGUUGAGGUGGGUGGUGAUGUUCUAGAACUUCCAACAGAUAUAUUUGAUGCUGGUGAUAACAGAGGCACUAUAAUUGAUAGUGGUACAACACUGGCCUAUCUUCCUGAUGAAGUUUUGAGGCCAAUGAUGAAAAAGGUUUCCAAUAUGUUUUAGUUUUUUUCUAGUUUUUCUCAAGAUAUUUGCAUGCCGUUAAUUUAUUCUGCAUAUCAAUUUUGCUGCCUUCUCAAAAUAGAUAAUGGCACGGCAACCUGAUGUGAAACUUCACACACUGGAGGAGCAGUUCACGUGCUUUCCGUACAAAGGAAAGUAAGACAUCUUACUGAAGGCUUUCUUUUACCUCAUAUGCGACCUAAGAGUUAAUGACAUAUGAAUCAGAUGUUGGAUUUUAUUUUUGUAUCAUAAUAAAAUAAUUUGUGUAUUCAUAACUUUUCAUAUGCUUUUAUUACAAGAAGCUUAGCAGGAGCAGUAUAGUUUAUGUUUCUUGGGAUGUGAGUAAAAAUUGAGGGCUGGGGAUGGGUGUUUGCUUGCUUAGUAAUCAUCUGAUGAAUAAUACCUUGUACUCUCCAAAAGUCCUUGUUCUUGCUUUUUGUUAAAUACGCGCGCGUGUGUGUGUUCUUAUAUAUAUACUACAUUGUCUGUUGAUACUGAAGGAAGGAGUGACACUUGACAUGCAAUAAAGUUUCUUUAGAGGGUAAUGUUAUUAAGUUGAGAAGUGGUGUUCCCUCAAUGAUCUUAACACUAGCAGUUUAGGUUACAUCAAAAGCAGAAAAAUAGUUUUGCUGUUAAUUGCAGUUAGCCACUGAUUUUCUUGCUAUGCUUUGUGAUAUACAAAAUGAAGAUGAAGAAAGAGAAAACAUGAGCUAAGGGUUGUUUGGGUGAUAAAUGUAUUAAGUAGAGCACCAUAUUUCUAAUAAUAUAUGUUGAGUACAUUGUAGUCUUGUUUAUUUUUCACUGUUAAUUGUUUUCUUCUCGCCUUCGAUAACAUUGCCUGUAUUUUCUUCUCCAUUAAUGAUUUUUUGCAGCGUUGAUGAUGGUUUUCCAGUUGUCACCUUUCAUUUUGAAGAUUCACUUUCUUUGUCAGUUUAUCCCCAUGAUUACCUUUUUGCUGUUGAUGUAAGUAUUUUGUCAUGAGCAUACGACAUUUGUGUACAGUGUCUUGAUACAAAAAGAUCAUUAUGUUUUUCAAUCAUUUAAUCUUUGUAUAUUUAAGCAUGUGAUAUCUGGAGUUGUUCCACGAAUUUAUAUAAAUCAGAUAUAGUAAUAACAUUGGUAUCAUGCCCCCAAGCGGGGUAAUGGGGAGAAGUGGAAUAAAGAAAAUGAUUACUUUAGUUGUGUUAGUAAUUGUGACAAGUGGAGUAAUGAAAUAGUUUAGAUGUAUGAAGACACUUUCCUAAUAAUGAUUAUGCAGAGUGACAAUCUUCUUUUGUUGUGUUCAGACAUAUUAUUGGUUGGUUAUUCGAUUGAUUUUCUAUUUCUUCUCACAUCUUAAAGAACAAAGGCUCCUAUUAUAAGAUGUUUUUUUCGAGUUACAUCAAGGUUGCUGUUCCAAGUAUGUGGUUUUGAGAACAAGCUCCUCACUUGUUUUCAAUGUCUGUGGUUCUUUGAGAUUUCUUGUCUGGUUAUUAAUAGAUAAACCAGAUCAUGAACACUUUGAGCUAGUGCCAUAAACCUUUGUUGCGAAAAUAAUUGUUCUAAGGUGAUCCUUGAUUCUGAAAUGAUCGAGGCAAUACUAGUUUAUGCCGAUCCAUGAGUGCCAUAAACCUUUGUUGUGGAAAAAUUUCUUCUAAAGUGAUUCUUGAUUCUGAAAUGGUCUAUCAGUUUAAGCUGAUACCAUGAGAUAGCCUAAAAUAUCUUCAUGCUUAAGUGAAUCAAGUAUAGAAGAGUUAGCUCUUUCAUAUUCAUAUAUUACUUUACUGUACUGGGUCCAAAGCAAAUAUCCUAUCAAUUUUAAAGCAGACUUAUGAAAGAGAAUGAAGCACAUAAUAUUUAGAGCUUGAUUGAGCACAUGAUGAACAUGGCUACAAAUAUUAUAUAUAUAGUCUUACUCUAG
rnacentral:lncRNA from 1 species